rnacentral:rRNA from 1 species
UACGGGGGGAGCAAGCGUUGUUCGGAUUUACUGGGCGUAAAGGGCGCGUAGGCGGCCAGCGCAAGUCAGUUGUGAAAUCUCCGGGCUUAACUCGGAACGGUCAACUGAUACUGCGCGGCUAGAGUGCAGAAGGGGCAACUGGAAUUCUCGGUGUAGCGGUGAAAUGCGUAGAUAUCGAGAGGAACACCUGCGGCGAAGGCGGGUUGCUGGGCUGACACUGACGCUGAAGUGCGAAAGCUAGGGGAGCGAACGGG